ensembl:lncRNA
UUAGUGACUGUUCACAACUAGCAGGUGCACACACAGUAACCAUUUUGGGGAUAGUGGUGGUGUUCACCCUUCUGUACAGUUCCUCCCCAGGAAUAUACUAAACAUUUUGUUUAUUUUUGUUUUAAAUUGGCCAGAUGCACUCAGGCAAUUUUUGCAGAGGCCGCUGUAGAAAGGACGCCUGAUUCGCCUCCCUCUGAACUUUCUGCAGGAGAAGGGACAUCCAGUAGUACUCAAGGGGCCAGUAACACACAGGCCAGGAACACACAGCCUGCAUCAGGUGAAGGUGAAGGGACAUCCAGGACCA